rnacentral:pre_miRNA from 1 species
AUAAUCAGUUCUCCUCGGCAGUUAACUGCAGCCGGAUUACAUAUUCUUCGGCAGUUAACUGCCGAGGGGUAU